rnacentral:lncRNA from 1 species
AGGUCUAGCCAUUUUAUUUUUUACGUAGGAAAUGUUCACCCUAGGAAAAAGUUGCAAAGUGGCAUAAAAUAUUAAAAUGGCAUCUCUUUCACUUUAUACAAGGGAAAUGGAUUUUGUUUUAAAGUCUUUACUUUUGCAUUUUGUGAACUACUUGCAUAAAUAUCUGGAGAAGUUAAUAGCCUCAGCCAAUUAUGAACACACUCUUAAAAUGUUUUGAAGAGCUUUGUUCCUCCUGUCUCCCUCCUUUUAAUAUUAUAUUGAGAGUUUAUAUAUAAUCUAAAGUGUUCUCAUUAUGACAGCACUACUAGUCAUUUGAAGAAUACAUUCAUCUAAAUAAACACACUCCAAAGUGAACCAAAUGCUAAUGCACAUUUUAUUGGAUGAAAAGACAAACAAUAUAAUUAUACUUGAAUUUUAGAAAAUCAAAGGUAGUAAAACAAGUUUACACCAGAGCCCAGGGCAGGGUUUAUAAGUUAGCCAUACACACAUUCUCUCCAAGCCACACAAGCCUGGAAAGUUUGCUAAAAUGAGCUGAGGGUUACUUCACCAGACUAACAAAAAGGAAAAUGUCUAUCAGUUUUUCUUUUGUUCUUUCCAGAUCCUGCUCAAGUGCACACUGAGCCAGCAGGUUCACCAGAAAGCUAUUGAGCAUUGGCUGGAACACAUUAUGCAGGGUGAAUUUCUUCUGGAAUGUUGCCAAAGGUUUUUUAUGCUUCUGUGAUGGCUUUGAAGCAGGACACCUGGGUGGCUCAGCUGGUAAGCGCCUGCCUUCGGCCCAGGAUGUGAUCCUAGAGUCCCAGGAUCAAGUUCCAGGAUCGAGUUCUAGGAUGGAGUCCCACGUCGGGCUCCCUGCAUGGAGCCUGCUUCUCCCUCUGCCUGUGUCUCUGCCUCUCUCUCUCUGUAUCUCUAAUGAAUAUAUAAAUAAAAUAAUUUUUAAAAAAUGGCUUUGAAUCCUAUUCUGAACCACUCCCCUCUCCCCCACUUAAUCCCAUUCUCUUCUCUUCGUCCCCAGAAAUAAUCAUUAUCCCCUUACUGGAGUUUAUCAUUCCCAUGUAUAUUUUUUACACUCUAACCUCACCUGUCCACAAGCCAUGUAUCACAUCAUUUUGCUUAUUUUUACACUUGACAUGAGUAAUAUGACUAUUUUAUUCUGCUGCAGUUUACUUUUUAAAAACUUAAUCUAGUAGAUUAAGUAGAACCUUUUGAGGUUCAUCCAUUUUGAUGCAUGUGUCUCUGGUUUGUUCUGUAUAAUGUACCAUUUAGAGCAAUCCUGAUGAUUAUGAAUCUUAAGUUGUUCAGAUUAGAGAAAUUGUAAGUUGUCCUCCUGUUUGAGCUUUCUAGGAUUUGGUAUAAAAAAUAGGGGGGAAGAAGUUUUGUAACAACACUUUUUGGCUUUUACCAUUUUUCUCAGUGAUCACUUUUUCAAAUGGUAGCUUGUAGGUGUGUGCCAGAUUGCUGGAAGCCUGAUCUCAGAUCAGUGGGGGUUGACCCUAUGUUUACUGGGAGAGGCUGUAUCAUGCAGCAGUUAAGAGCAGACAUUGGAGGGGCACUUGGGUGGCACAGUUGGUUGAGCAUCUGACUCCUGGUUUCUGCUCAGGUCCUGAUCUCAUGGUUGUAGGAUGAACUCCGAGUCUGGAUCCACACUCAGCACAAAGUCUGCUUGGGAUUCUCUGUCUCCCUCUG